UAAUGGCCUACCAAGGCGACGACGGGUAGCCGGCCUGAGAGGGUGAUCGGCCACACUGGGACUGAGACACGGCCCAGACUCCUACGGGAGGCAGCAGUGGGGAAUAUUGCACAAUGGGCGAAAGCCUGAUGCAGCGACGCCGCGUGGGGGAUGACGGUCUUCGGAUUGUAAACCCCUUUCAGUAGGGACGAAGCGCAAGUGACGGUACCUGCAGAAGAAGCACCGGCUAACUACGUGCCAGCAGCCGCGGUAAUACGUAGGGUGCGAGCGUUGUCCGGAAUUACUGGGCGUAAAGAGCUCGUAGGCGGUUUGUCACGUCGUCUGUGAAAUCCCUCGGCUUAACCGGGGGCGUGCAGGCGAUACGGGCAGACUUGAGUACUACAGGGGAGACUGGAAUUCCUGGUGUAGCGGUGAAAUGCGCAGAUAUCAGGAGGAACACCGGUGGCGAAGGCGGGUCUCUGGGUAGUAACUGACGCUGAGGAGCGAAAGCAUGGGUAGCGAACAGGAUUAGAUACCCUGGUAGUCCAUGCCGUAAACGGUGGGCGCUAGGUGUGGGGUCCUUCCACGGACUCCGUGCCGUAGCUAACGCAUUAAGCG
rnacentral:rRNA from 1 species